GAUGAACGCUGGCGGCGUGCCUAAUACAUGCAAGUCGAGCGAACAGACGAGGAGCUUGCUCCUCUGACGUUAGCGGCGGACGGGUGAGUAACACGUGGAUAACCUACCUAUAAGACUGGGAUAACUUCGGGAAACCGGAGCUAAUACCGGAUAAUAUAUUGAACCGCAUGGUUCAAUAGUGAAAGACGGUUUUGCUGUCACUUAUAGAUGGAUCCGCGCCGCAUUAGCUAGUUGGUAAGGUAACGGCUUACCAAGGCAACGAUGCGUAGCCGACCUGAGAGGGGGAUCGCCCCCACUGGAACUGAGAACCGGUCCCGACCCCCAGGGGAGGCAGAAGUAGGGAAUCUUCCGAAAUGGGCGAAAGCCUGACGGAGCAACGCCGCGUGGGUGAUGAAGGGCUUCGGAUCUUAAAACCUUUUUAUUGGGGAAAAAAAAAUGUGUAAGUAACUAUGCACGUUUUGACGGUACCUAAUCAGAAAGCCACGGUUAACUACGG
rnacentral:rRNA from 1 species